UCGACCCUUCCCAUCCCAGACAACAAUAUACCUCAGAACCCCCCUCCCCAUUUCUAAUACCCUCCGAAGCGCUGAACAUGAGGGACGUGUUUUUCACGUUCGCGCUGCUAACGUGGUGUGGUGCGGAUGAGCUCUCUCCACCAUCCGAGUCGAUCUUGGUUCGGCUUGGAGAGAAUGUCACCCUGCCCUGCAGUGAACCAUUCAACCGCAAAACGGUGUGGUUCCGUCAGCACUCGGAACAAAUGAUCGCUCUGACAACAACAACAAAAAAACAAAUUCACAAUAAAACAGAAACCAAAUGCCACAGUGGUGACUGUGGUCACUUCAGCACACAGGAGGACAAGCGCAGGAAAUCUUUCAGCCUGGAAAUUUCCGGAGUGACAGAGUCGGACCAUGGUCUGUACUACUGUAUGGACUUUGAAGGGGAUGAAGUCCGUUUCGGAAAAGGAGCUCGGCUGAUUCUACCAGACUCAGGGAGACCGUCUCCAGUCUGCUGGACUCCCCUGGUGUUUAUCCCGCUGGUGGUUGCCGUGGUAACCGUGGUGACCGUGCUCUGUGUCUGGGGGCUCUGCUACUGGAGAGGUGAGGCGGCCAUCAUGAAGCAUAUUCAGAGAAGGAAGGGAAUUUGCACUAUGCCAGUCUUCACCUUCCCAAAAAACCCCGUCACUCAAAGCAAAGAGUGA